UACGGGGGGGGUAAGCGUUGUUCGGAAUUACUGGGCGUAAAGGGCUCUUAGGCGGCCAACUAAGUCAGACGUGAAAUCCCUCAGCUUAACUGGGGAACUGCGUCUGAUACUGGAUGGCUUGGAUUCGGGAGAGGAAUGCGGAAUUCCAGGUGUAGCGGUGAAAUGCGUAGAUAUCUGGAGGAACACCGGUGGCGAAGGCGGCAUUCUGGACCGAUAUUGACGCUGAGGAGCGAAAGCCAGGGGAGCAAACGGG
rnacentral:rRNA from 1 species